UUAGAGUUUGAUCCUGGCUCAGGAUGAACGCUGGCGGCGUGCCUAACACAUUCAAGUCGAACGGAGUGAGAAAUGCUUGCAUUUCACAUUUAGUGGCGGACGGGUGAGUAACGCGUGAGCAACCUACCUAAAUGAGCGGAACAACUCCUGGAAACGGGAGCUAAUACCGCAUAACAUAGUGAUAUCACAUGGUAACAUUAUCAAAGGAGCAAUCCGCAUAUAGAUGGGCUCGCGUCUGAUUAGCUAGUUGGUGGAGUAAAGGUUCACCAAGGCAACGAUCAGUAGCCGGACUGAGAGGUUGACCGGCCACAUUGGAACUGAGAAACGGUCCAGACUCCUACGGGAGGCAGCAGUGGGGAAUAUUGGGCAAUGGGCGAGAGCCUGACCCAGCGACGCCGCGUGAAGGAAGAAGGUCUUCGGAUUGUAAACUUCUUUUGUGAGGGAAGAAAGAUGGGGUAGAACUCCAUCGUGACGGUACCUCAAAAACAAGCCACGGCUAACUACGUGCCAGCAGCCGCGGUAAUACGUAGGUGGCGAGCGUUGUCCGGAAUUACUGGGUGUAAAGGGCGUGUAGGCGGGGGAGCAAGUCAGAUGUGAAAUACCGAGGCUUAACUUCGGGGGUGCAUCUGAAACUGUUUUUCUUGAGUAUCGGAGAGGAAAGUGGAAUUCCUAGUGUAGCGGUGAAAUGCGUAGAUAUUAGGAGGAACACCAGUGGCGAAGGCGACUUUCUGGACGAUAACUGACGCUGAGGCGCGAAAGCGUGGGGAGCAAACAGGAUUAGAUACCCUGGUAGUCCACGCCGUAAACGAUGGAUACUAGGUGUAGGAGGUAUCGACCCCUUCUGUGCCGCAGUUAACACAAUAAGUAUCCCACCUGGGGAGUACGGCCGCAAGGCUGAAACUCAAAGGAAUUGACGGGGACCCGCACAAGCAGUGGAGUAUGUGGUUUAAUUCGAAGCAACGCGAAGAACCUUACCAGGGCUUGACAUGCAGGUGAAUAUGCUAGAGAUAGUAUAGUCCUUCGGGACACCUGUGCAGGUGGUGCAUGGUUGUCGUCAGCUCGUGUCGUGAGAUGUUGGGUUAAGUCCCGCAACGAGCGCAACCCCCGUUGCUAGUUGCCAUCAUUAAGUUGGGCACUCUAGCGAGACUGCCGGUGACAAAUCGGAGGAAGGGGGGGGGGACGUCAAAUCAUCAUGGCCCUUAUAUCCGGGGGGACACACGUGCUACAAUGGUCGGUUCAGCGGGAAGCGAUGCUGCGAGGCAAAGCGGAUCCCCCAAAGCCGAUCUCAGUUCGGAUGGAAGUCUGCAACUCGACUUCAUGAAGCAGGAAUCGCUAGUAAUCGCGGAUCAGCCAAGCCGCGGGGAAUACGUUCCCGGGCCUUGUACUCACCGCCCGUCA
rnacentral:rRNA from 1 species